AGUGGCGAACGGGUGAGUAAUAUAUCGGAACGUACCUUGUAAUGGGGGAUAACUAGUCGAAAGAUUAGCUAGUACCGCAUACGCCCUGAGGGGGAAAGUAGGGGAUCUUCGGACCUUACGUUAUAAGAGCGGCCGAUAUCUGAUUAGCUAGUUGGUGGGGUAAUGGCCUACCAAGGCGACGAUCAGUAGCUGGUCUGAGAGGACGACCAGCCACACUGGAACUGAGACACGGUCCAGACUCCUACGGGAGGCAGCAGUGGGGAAUUUUGGACAAUGGGCGCAAGCCUGAUCCAGCCAUUCCGCGUGAGUGAAGAAGGCCUUCGGGUUGUAAAGCUCUUUCGCAAGGGAAGAAAACUUAUUCUCUAAUAUAGGAUGAGGUUGACGGUACCUUGAUAAGAAGCACCGGCUAACUACGUGCCAGCAGCCGCGGUAAUACGUAGGGUGCGAGCGUUAAUCGGAAUUACUGGGCGUAAAGCGUGCGCAGGCGGUUUUGUAAGUCAGAUGUGAAAUCCCCGAGCUCAACUUGGGAACUGCGUUUGAAACUACAAGACUAGAAUAUGUCAGAGGGGGGUAGAAUUCCACGUGUAGCAGUGAAAUGCGUAGAGAUGUGGAGGAAUACCAAUGGCGAAGGCAGCCCCCUGGGAUAAUAUUGACGCUCAUGCACGAAAGCGUGGGGAGCAAACAGGAUUAGAUACCCUGG
rnacentral:rRNA from 1 species